rnacentral:rRNA from 1 species
AACGAACGCUGGCGGCGUGGAUAAGACAUGCAAGUCGAACGGGGCUUGGUAGCAAUACUAAGUUCAGUGGCGGACGGGUGCGUAACACGUGAACAAUCUGCCCGGAAGAGGGGGAUAGCCCAGGGAAACUUGGAUUAAUACCCCGUGUGGUACAGGUGGGCAUCCAUCUGACACCAAAGGUCCUGCAAAGUGCCGCUCCCGGAUGAGUUCGCGCCCUAUCAGCUUGUUGGCGGGGUAACGGCCCACCAAGGCAAUGACGGGUAGCUGGUCUGAGAGGAUGACCAGCCACACUGGGACUGAGAUACGGCCCAGACUCCUACGGGAGGCAGCAGUGGGGAAUAUUGCACAAUGGGCGCAAGCCUGAUGCAGCGACGCCGCGUGGGGGAUGACGGCCUUCGGGUUGUAAACCUCUUUCAGCACAGACGAAGCGCAAGUGACGGUAUGUGCAGAAGAAGGACCGGCCAACUACGUGCCAGCCGCCGCGGUAAAAC